GUGAGUCAUCGAAUCUUUGAACGCACAUUGCGCCCGCCAGUAUUCUGGCGGGCAUGCCUGUCCGAGCGUCAUUUCAACCCUCGAACCCCUCCGGGGGGUCGGCGUUGGGGAUCGGCCCUUUUAAACGGGGGCCGGCCCCGAAAUACAGUGGCGGUCUCGCCGCAGCCUCUCCUGCGCAGUAGUUUGCACACUCGCAUCGGGAGCGCGGCGCGUCCAAUGCCGUAAAACACCCAACUUUCUGAAAUGUUGACCUCGGAUCAGGUAGGAAUACCCGCUGAACUUAAGCAUAUCAAUAAGCGGAGGA
rnacentral:misc_RNA from 1 species